rnacentral:rRNA from 1 species
UUAACGGCCGCAGUUAGUAGCUGUGCUAAGGUAGCGUAAUAAGUUGUCCUUUAAAUGAGGAAAGGUAUGAAUGGUUUGACGUAAAGGUUUCUGUCUCUAGUAAAAUUUAAGGAAAUUUUCUUCUUAGUGAAAAGCCUAAGAAUGAAUUAAAAGACGAGAAGACCCUUUUGAGCUUGACUUACUAGUUUUGUUGAAGGCUAGGAAAAUUGGUUGGGGCAACUAAGGAGCAAAAGAAGCCUCCUUUAUUGAUUUUGAAGAUCCAAAAUUUUUGAAAAAAGAAAAAGCUACCAUAGGGAUAACAGCGAUAUCUUCUCUGAGAGAACACNCUGCCNAGANG